AUAAAGAAAAAAGCGGUGAGUGGGCGAACUACAAUUCCCAAAAGGCCACA
rnacentral:misc_RNA from 1 species